CAAUCUGCACUUUACAACGCUCUGUUUGUACAUGUGCCUUGACCUGUUGCUAUCUGUCUGCUUUGUGAAUAUGUAUUUUAUGCUUUUAUCAUAAUAUAAGCAUCUCUGUUGAAUGUUGUUU